rnacentral:misc_RNA from 1 species
GAUGAAGAGUAGCGAAAUGCGAUACGUAAUGUGAAUUGCAGAAUUCAGUGAAUCAUCGAGUCUUUGAACGCACAUUGCGCCCUCUGGUAUUCCGGAGGGCAUGCCUGUCCGAGCGUCAUUGCUGCCCUCAAGCACGGCUUGUGUGUUGGGCCCCGCCCCCCGAUCCCGGGGGGCGGGCCCGAAAGGCAGCGGCGGCACCGCGUCCGGUCCUCGAGCGUAUGGGGCUUUGUCACCCGCUCUGUAGGCCCGGCCGGCGCUUGCCGAUCAACCAAACUUUUUUCCAGGUUGACCUCGGAUCAGGUAGGGAUACCCGCUGAACUUAAGCAUAUCAAUAAGCGGAGGA